rnacentral:misc_RNA from 1 species
UUCUCAUGCGUACACAACAUAUAAUAGUGUUCAUUUGAUGCCCAAAUCUAUUUAUUAUAUGAUGUGCAUGCGCACUGUCUUUUAAAAGCACUAGACUAGACCCAAUAAAUCUAAACGAUCCAUGAUGUUAAAUUGAACGCAUUGGCUUCACAACCAAAAAGAACACAAAGUAAUCAAUUUCAAAGUAAAACUGAAGAAAAAGAAAGAAAGUCCUCGAUUUCAAAUAUGAUAAUCACAAAAUGCCACUAUGCCACUAUGCCACUAGCUUAUUCCCAAUAAAUUUUCAAUCCAGA